GAUGAACGCUGGCGGCGUGCCUAAUAUAUGCAAGUCGAGCGAGCGGACGAGAAGCUUGCUUCUCUGAUGUUAGCGGCGGACGGGUGAGUAACACGUGGAUAACCUACCUAUAAGACUGGGAUAACUUCGGGAAACCGGAGCUAAUACCGGAUAAUAUUUUGAACCGCAUGGUUCAAAAGUGAAAGACGGUCUUGCUGUCACUUAUAGAUGGAUCCGCGCUGCAUUAGCUAGUUGGUAAGGUAACGGCUUACCAAGGCAACGAUGCAUAGCCGACCUGAGAGGGUGAUCGGCCACACUGGAACUGAGACACGGUCCAGACUCCUACGGGAGGCAGCAGUAGGGAAUCUUCCGCAAUGGGCGAAAGCCUGACGGAGCAACGCCGCGUGAGUGAUGAAGGUCUUCGGAUCGUAAAACUCUGUUAUUAGGGAAGAACAUAUGUGUAAGUAACUGUGCACAUCUUGACGGUACCUAAUCAGAAAGCCACGGCUAACUACGUG
rnacentral:rRNA from 1 species